AAACAUAAGUACACCUCCUAACAAAGGUCUUAAAUUUUGUUCUUGUGUUUUUGGCAGUGGGUGUUGCUGAUGUUAUAGUCACUUCUGUGUUUAUUUUGUCUCAGAAGGCAUACUGUUUGCAUUCUUUGUCAGGAUAUAUGUGCUAUAAGAGGAAGUAGAGAAAAAAAGAGAAAAAGAAAAAAGAGGAAGUAGAUGUGAGGUAAAUAAAAGUUGUUUAAUAUCUGAGCUCAAAAUUCUAUAACCUGUUCUAAGUUUCCGGGUCUCUGCCAACCCUAUUUUGCCUUUCCGGCUGGCUCACAAUUAAGCUGUGCCUGUAGAGAUUUCCUGAGAGAGACAAGAAGUCUGAAGGAAGGAGAAUCUACUAUGUCUUGUCUCUGUUCCUGUUUUCCUCUCUGUAUCACCCCCCUAAAGAUCCUCCUGAGGGCAGAGAAGUAGAUUCUGCUGCUGAUUUUAAAUCGGGAAAUGUUUCCCACCACCUUGGGAUGCCAAAGUCCGUAUCAUUCGACACUAAAGAAGAGAGUGACUAUCAUUAUGAAAAUGCUGAUGAAGAGAAAGAGGAUGGAAAUGAAAAACCAGAAGAAGGACCCAAGCUGGAUAUGAUCUCAGCAGAGGGCAGCUGUGAAGAAUCCAGUUGGAAGGCAUCAAAAGAAAUGGACAGCGAAGGAAAAGAAGAAUUUGUUCUUCACGGAUAUUCUAGUAUUCAUUAGCCCACAAUACAAAUGUUGUUUCAAAGUUCAGCAUCCCAAAAUGAUAUUAGCUGACAUCUGAGUUUAUUCUUACCUUUGACAGAUAAAUUUGACAGUCUUGUUCACAUUGAAAAUAAAAGCUUGUUU